UACGUAGGGUGCGAGCGUUAAUCGGAAUUACUGGGCGUAAAGCGUGCGCAGGCGGUUCGUUAAGUCAGAUGUGAAAGCCCCGGGCUCAACCUGGGAACUGCAUUUGAAACUGGCGGGCUUGAGUGUGGCAGAGGGGGGUGGAAUUCCGCGUGUAGCAGUGAAAUGCGUAGAGAUCGGGAGGAACAUCUGUGGCGAAGGCGGCCAUCUGGACCAGCACUGACACUGAGGCACGAAAGCGUGGGGAGCAAACAGG
rnacentral:rRNA from 1 species